GGAUGUGAGGGCGAUCUGGCUGCGACAUCUGUCACCCCAUUGAUCGCCAGGGUUGAUUCGGCUGAUCUGGCUGGCUAGGCGGGUGUCCCCUUCCUCCCUCACCGCUCCAUGUGCGUCCCUCCCGAAGCUGCGCGCUCGGUGGAAGAGGACGACCUUCCCAGAUAGAAGGAGUGUACCGAUCUUCGGUCAAGGGUAUACGAUAGCUGCGCUCCCCUGCUAGAACCUCCAAACAAGCUCAAGGUCCAUUUGUAGGAGAACGUAGGGUAGUCAAGCUUCCAAGACUCCAGACACAUCCAAGUGAGGCGCUGCACGUGGCAGUUUGCCAUUCUUU
rnacentral:snRNA from 1 species